rnacentral:rRNA from 1 species
AGAGUUUGGAUCCUGGCUCAGAAUCAACGCUGGCGGCGUGCCUAACACAUGCAAGUCGAACGAGAAAGUGGAGCAAUCCAUGAGUAAAGUGGCGCACGGGUGAGUAACACGUGACUAACCUACCCUUGAGUGGGGGAUAACCUAGGGAAACCUGGGCUAAUACCGCAUAAUACCUAUGGGUCAAAGGAGCAAUUCGCUUUAGGAGGGGGUCGCGGCAGAUUAGUUAGUUGGCGGGUAAUGGCCCACCAAGACGAUGAUCUGUAUCCGGCCUGAGAGGGCGCACGGACACACUGGAACUGAAACACGGUCCAGACUCCUACGGGAGGCAGCAGUGGGGAAUUUUGCGCAAUGGGGGAAACCCUGACGCAGCAACGCCGCGUGGAGGAUGAAGACCCUUGGGUCGUAAACUCCUUUCGAUCGGGACGAUAAUGACGGUACCGGAAGAAGAAGCCCCGGCUAACUUCGUGCCAGCAGCCGCGGUAAUACGAGGGGGGCAAGCGUUGUUCGGAAUUAUUGGGCGUAAAGGGUGCGUAGGCGGUUAGACAAGUCUUGUGUGAAAUCUUCGGGCUCAACUCGAAGUCUGCAUAAGAAACUGUUUGGCUAGAGUGUGGGAGAGGUGAGUGGAAUUCCCGGUGUAGCGGGAAAUGCGUAGAUAUCGGGAGGAACACCUG